rnacentral:rRNA from 1 species
UACAGAGGGGGCAAGCGUUGUUCGGAAUUACUGGGCGUAAAGGGCGCGUAGGCGGCCUUCUAAGUCGAACGUGAAAUCCCCGGGCUCAACCCGGGAACUGCGUCCGAUACUGGAAGGCUUGAAUCCGGGAGAGGGAUGUGGAAUUCCAGGUGUAGCGGUGAAAUGCGUAGAUAUCUGGAGGAACACCGGUGGCGAAGGCGGAUCUCUGGGCCUUACCUGACGCUGAGGCGCGAAAGCUAGGGGAGCGAACAGG